rnacentral:rRNA from 1 species
UACGUAGGGUGCAGCGUUGUCCGGAAUUAUUGGGCGUAAAGGGCUCGUAGGCGGUUUGUCGCGUCGGGAGUGAAAUCCACUGGCUUAACUGGUGGCUUGCUUUCGAUACGGGCAGACUGGAGGUAUGCAGGGGAGAACGGAAUUCCUGGUGUAGCGGUGAAAUGCGCAGAUAUCAGGGGGAACACCGGGUGGCGAAGGCGGUUCUCUGGGCAUGUCCUGACGCUGAGGAGCGAAAGUGUGGGGAGCGAACAGG